rnacentral:rRNA from 1 species
CACCAGCCCCUCGAGUGGUGGGGAUGAUUAUUUGGCCUAAAGCGUCCGUAGCCGGCCGGGUAAGUUUCCCGUUAAAUCCAAUGUCUCAAGCAUUGGACUGCGGGAAAUACUGUCUGGCUAGAGAGUGGGAGAGGUGUACGGUAUUCUGGGGGUAGGGGCGAAAUCCUUUGAUCCCCGGAGGACCACCAGUGGCGAAGGCUGUACACUAGAACACGUCGGACGGUCAGGAACGAAGGCUGGGGUAGCGAACCGGAUUAGAUGCCCGGGUAGUCCCAGCUGUAAACGAUGCAUGCUAGGUGUUGGGUUGGCCACGAGCCACCCCAGUGCCGCAGGGAAGCCGUUAAGCAUGCCGCCUGGGAAGUACGAUCGCAAGAUUGAAACUUAAAGGAAUUGGCGGGGGAGCACCACCAGGCGUGAAGCCUGCGGUUU